rnacentral:rRNA from 1 species
UGAGGGAUAUUGCACAGUGGGGGAAACCCUGAUGCAGCGACGCCGCGUGGGUGAAGAAGGUCUUCGGAUCGUAAAGCCCUUUUCUGCAUGACGAGACAAGGACGGUAGUGCAGGAAUAAGCCUCGGCUAACUACGUGCCAGCAGCCGCGGUAAAACGUAGGAGGCGAGCGUUAUCCGGAGUUACUGGGCGUAAAGCGUGCGUAGGCGGUUGCGUAAGUGGGACGUGAAAGCUCCCGGCUAAACUGGGGGAGGACGACUCAGACUGCGCGACUAGAGGGCGAUAGAGGAGCGCGGAAUUCGGGGUGUAGCGGUGAAAUGUGUAGAGAUCCCGAGGAACACCAGUGGUGCAAAACGGCGCUCUGGGUUGCUACUGACGCUGAGGCACGAAAGCUUGGGGAGCGAACGGGAUUAGAGACCCCGGUAGUCCAAGCCGUAAACGAUGUCAACCGGGGUGUCGCGGUUUCGAAAGGGACUGGGGUGCCGAAGCCAACGCGGUAAGUUGACCGCCUGGGGAGUACGGUCGCAAGG